GACUUGGCAGAAAACUAAUGCAAUUGAUUUAGGAUCAAUAGAUAAUAUAUUAUAUAUUAGUC
rnacentral:tRNA from 1 species